AAUUGGACAGUCCAGAUUAUGGAUAACUGAGCAGGGAUUCUGCAGAAAGAAAAGCAAAUGUGAUUGCUCUACUAAGGUAAGAAUUCUACAGGGUGUGGG